AGUCACUGACAUUAGAUACCCCUGUAGUCCAGGGUGUAAACGCUGCAGACUUGGUGUUGGAAGUCCUUUGGGGGCAUUCAGUGCCGGAGAGAAGUUGUUAAGUCUGCUACUUGGGAGUACGUCCGCAAGGAUGAAACUUAAAGGAAUUGGCGGGGAGCACCGCAACGGGAGGAGCGUGCGGUUUAAUUGGAUUCAACACCGUAAAACUCACCAGGGAAGACUGUUACAUGAAAGCCGAGAUGAAGACUCUGCUAGAUUUUCAG
rnacentral:rRNA from 1 species